CUCUUUCUCCUGUUUGGCCGUGUACCAAGUUCCUGCCUGUCUUCUGUCUUCACCCGUGACUUGCCUCAAGUAGUUGGCUCCUUUCCCACCGGCUACUUUGUAACUGCGAAUAUGACAACAUGACGGUGAUUCACAGAUGCCAAAAUAUGACGAGCAGAGCAAAUCUGUGUUCCAGAUAUGAUAAGGUCCCAUCUUCUUAGGAAGUUUUAAACAACUGUCAAAAGUAUGCACAAUCAAAAUCAAGAAUCAAAUCU